UAGGGAAUCUUCGGCAAUGGACGAAAGUCUGACCGAGCAACGCCGCGCGAGUGAAGAAGGUUUUCGGAUCGUAAAACUCUGUUGUUAGAGAAGAACAAGGACGUUAGUAACUGAACGUCCCCUGACGGUAUCUAACCAGAAAGCCACGGCUAACUACGUGCCAGCAGCCGCGGUAAUACGUAGGUGGCAAGCGUUGUCCGGAUUUAUUGGGCGUAAAGCGAGCGCAGGCGGUUUCUUAAGUCUGAUGUGAAAGCCCCCGGCUCAACCGGGGAGGGUCAUUGGAAACUGGGAGACUUGAGUGCAGAAGAGGAGAGUAGAAUUCGAUGUGUAGCGGUGAAAUGCGUAGAUAUAUGGAGGAAAACCAGUGGCGAAGGCGGCUCUCUGGUCUGUAACUGACGCUGAGGCUCGAAAGCGUGGGGAGCAAACAGG
rnacentral:rRNA from 1 species